rnacentral:rRNA from 1 species
AUUGAACGCUAGCGGGAUGCUUUACACAUGCAAGUCGAACGGAGUGGAGGACGGGUGCAUAAUAUAUAGGAACGUGCCCAGUAGCGGGGUAUAACUACUCGAAAGAGUGGCGACUACCGAAUACUCUUGGCGCGGCCGAUAUCGGAUUAACUGGUUAGGGGGGUAAGAGCUCACCAAGGCAACGAUCCGUAGCUGGUUUGAGAGGACGCCCAGCAACACUGGGACUGAGAAAUGGCCCAGACUCCGCAGGGAGGCAGCAGUGGGGAAUUUUGGACAAUGGGGGAACCCCUGAGCCAGCCAUCCCGCGUGAAUGAUGAAGUCCUUCGGGUUGCAAAGUACUUUUGGCAGAUAAGCGGCAUCUGCAGAAUAAGCACCGGCUAACUACGUGCCAGCGGCGGCGGUAAUAC